CGACGACCUCCGAGCGCUGCCCGAACAGGAAGAGGAGCCACCUUCGGUGGGAGUCGUGACACAGGGGCUCUAUUUAUAUUGGUCUCCUUUUACUUCAUAUUGGCUGGAUAAACAUGAUGGACAGGAGGCUGAUCCAAUAGGACAAAUUGGAGAUGAACAGCACGAUUCCUCUUUACAGCACGACCCUGCAUAUGUACAGGUUGUGUCUGAUGGUGGUGAUGUUGGCUGUCCUCACUGCUCCCAUCACAACUCAAAAACCUGCUCUAGAUGACUUUUCAGUGUCAGUCCCUGAUGCUCCAAUCACGGCAUGGUCAGGCUCCUCUGUCUCUCUACCUGUCAUGAUCGUGUGGGGGAUUGACGGACCAAAACGCAGCAUUUGGAAAAUAAGCCAUCUUCCUUUUAUUUUUGAAGAAGGAAAAAUGAAA